GCAGCCUCUGUGACACCUGGAGUGGUCAGGGUACUUGCUGCCUGGGUUUGGACACGCCUGGUUCAAAGCCUGACAUAAAAGGCACAACAUCAAAGACUAAAACUCUAGUCCUAAACAUAAAUCCCUAUAUACUAAAACUAUCUACUUGUGUUAGUGAAACAGCAUAACAUAACAGAAUAACAGAACAGAAGCUGCUAAAGUGAUCUACAUUUUAAACAUAAAAGUAAGAACAGGAAGGCCAAUGGAGAAGAUACAGAAGCAGAACAAAGAGCUGCGGAGGUCAGUGACGGAGCUUCAACAUGAAGUCAGGCAGCUAAAAGAACAGCUGGCUGAGAAGGACGAGCAGUUGAGCCGGACCAUCAAAAGGCGCCAGAUAAGAGCAGUGGCUCAUGUGGACGCCCUGACCCAGCUGAACCAGGCAAGGGCUGAUCUCACAGUGAGCCAAGAGAAGUGCUCUGAUCUGGAGGAGAAGUUGCAGAAAGGACCCAACGACAGCCACCAGAGUCCGGAGCACGGAGACCACGGCAGAGGACAACAGACUGAGAAAGUGGAGACGAGUAACAUAGAGCUCUCCAAGAAAGAAGAGGCUCUGAAACUGCAAUUCUUAGAAAAAGAGCAGCAGAUGGAGGCGUGGAUGAGGCAGAGGCUCAUUAGCAUGCAGGAAGAAUUCCAGAGGAAGCUCUUGGAGGAGAGAGAGAAGGACCAGCGUGAGAUGCGUGAGAGAGAGGAGAGGCUGAGACAGCAGCUUGAGAGAGGGAUGAGGGAAGAGAGGGACGACUGCUUGAAGAAGCAGCUGUCCACGUUGAUUGAGUCCUGGCAGACCGAAGCUCAGCAGUGGAGAAACCACCAGUCAGAGCUGCAGGAGAAACUCCAGGAACAAGAGACCCUGCGCAAACAGCAAGAGGAGGAGAGAAAGCAGGAAACUGAGCGCUUCCAAGAGCAACUCCAGCAGCUUUGGCACUACAUUGAAAAGAAGGAGAAGAAGAAGAGGAACGGGGUCUGGAGCAGGAUUCUAAACUUUCGCUGAGGCUCACGUGGACACCUUGGCCCUGCUGAGCAGCACGCAGGCUGCACUAAAGCAGGAAGAACAAAAAUGUGCCAGUCUUGAAGAACAAUGUUGCAAGAAGCUGGCUGAUCAGGAGCAGAGACACCAAGAAUCAAGAGGAGGGAUUCCAGAGGGAGGUCUGUGAAAAUUUCAACCAAACCAAACAGAUAAUGUCAGACCUGACACAGAGUUUGGAGAAAGAAGUGAUCUGGCCUGAGACCCAGAGGAACCAUGAAGAGAUCUCGCAGGAAAAGGAGACCUCCAACAGGAAGGAGAUCCAACUCCUGACCGAGAGAAUCGUCCAGCUGCAGGUGAGCUGCCUCCACCUUCUUCUGUGGUUCUGACUUCUGACAGAUGUCACAUUUUUUAAUCUGAUAAAUGACCUUUGUCUUUGCAGCAACUCCUCAGUGAAAAGGAACAAAAGACUAAGUUCUUCUUUAGAAGAUAAAGGGAAUAAAUUAUACUGAUCCUGAGCUCCGAACUGGACAUUCUAUUAUUUCUACACGAUUGUGCUAAAAAACACAAAAUCACAAAACCAAAAGAGCAAAAAAAACAAAACAAAACACCGAAACCCUCCCAACACCCAAAUACAAGAUCAGCCACAAUCACACAAUCAGCUCGACGGCUGCCUCUUCAAAGAGUUCAAAGUCAGAACAACAUUGUUGAAAACUCCAUAGAUACAGUAGAGAUGCCUUUUAGGUCUCAAGGGGAAAAUAUGGCUGCCCAACCACAGGUGGCUGGGGUUUAAGGCAUGGCAGUGCACAUCAUACCAACAAUACAAAGGACAGUUGCAAAACAAACAAACAAAACAGCCAUAAACGGCAGUCACCCAAAUGCAAUGAAAGUACAGUUUACAACAGAAAACUACACAAUCAUGACAGGAGAUGGAACAGGUACCAAAAAGUGAGGUAACCUGAGUCAUAGAUUCGAUCAGGCGAGAAACUGGCCUAAUGACCCCGCCAAAUCGUGGAGUACGUUGGUUAUCCCUAAGUGACUCUAUAGGGACAGCAGGGGAGGGGACGGUGGACUCCGUGAGGGAAUGCUGAGGAACACUGACAUCAGGAAAUCCACCUUCAGCAUCACAUUCCGACACAGGCGGGGGCAGUUGCUGGACCCACGCUGAUGUGCAUUCAGAGAUACUGGAAGAAGUGCCGGACCCAGCCAAAGAGGGGCCCAUCUUAGCUUCAUGCAGAUCAGGUCCAGAAGCAACACCAGCCAGAGAGUCCACAGGUUCAGCUGCACCAUCCAAAGCCACAUCCAGUGGUAAGAAGUCCACCUCAAGGAGGAGGUUGCGGUGUACCACACGCUCAUUCCCAUCCGUAUCUCUGAUUCGGUAGAUGUGCAGGGCAGGUUUUGAGGCCACCACCGUGUAGACAACCGGCUCCCAUUUGUCAGCAAGCUUCCGUUUUUCCCCGGCACCUUUAUUCGCCACAACUACCUGAUCCCCAACAGACAGAGGCAGGCCUUUUGCUCUCUUGUUAUACUGAUGUGACUGAUGUUUCUGCUCCUUGGUGCUACUACGCUGAGCUUGGAGCAUGGCCCAGAUCAGGUCAUCCACCAGAGUCUUGACGUAAGUGGCAUAGACACAAACAGUGUCGUCCUGGAGAACACUCUUCAACAUGAGGUCAACUGGCAGCCUGGGGACCCUCCCAAACAUUAAAUAGAAUGUUGCAAACCCUGUGGUUUCAUGGACAGUACAGUUAUAUGCAAAUGUCAGCUACACUCAUAGCGUGUUGAGAAUGAACGACCACCCUUCUGACCCUACCAACGUGACUGUCUAAGCGACUCUGCACCUCAGCCACAGUCCAAUCUUCAAGAGGCUUGAGUUGGAAUGACAAGGCAAGGGUGGGAUCAGGACAAUGAGAAAUGAACAUCAUGACAACUUCCACACUCGGGUCUUCCACCUGUCUGCCUCGCCUGCGAAGGCACUCAUCAGCUGCAUCAAAGGACUUGUUUAGGCGAUCCAAUAAUCCAUAGCAUCCUCACCCACUCUUGGCACUGUGUUGUAGAAGUCCCUCAUUGGCAGGUUGGAACACGGCAGCUCGCCGAAAUUGCGCUUCAGGACUUCGAACAAUCAACUCAUCACCACACAAGUCUUGGCGGCAGCGUCGUGACAUUUUUACCACAUCCCUGGCUUUGCCACUUAGUCUAGACAGUAAAAGGUUAAACUUUCCAUCAGGUGUGUCAUAGCUCUGCUGGGACAGAUAGCAUCUCAUCAUGUCCACCCAUUCUUGAACAGAGAACACAUCUGUCGGGUCACCCUUGUAAUAGGGAGGUGCUUUGGUAUCAGACUGGACAACCACCUUCAGCUGGGAUGUAUCAACAUGGCUGGAAGGCUGGCUAUGUGUGGGAUGUAACUGGGAGGGUGUAGGCUGGUGCAUAGCAUGGAGGUUAGCAGUAAUAUUCUCACCAAUUUGUUGUGCUAAACCUGUAAUCAUAGUGCUAGGAGCCUCUGUUGUAAUGACUUGAGUAGGUGGAGACUGGACAUCAACAGGAGUUGAGCUAGCAGCAGGGACUAACGGUGGGUUCAUGUUUAACUGGUCACCAGUACAGUCAAAGUUACAGGGGGCUACUGGCCUCAACCCCCCAAAUGUAAAACAUGACUGACCCCUCCCCAAACUAAAAGUGCCACCACGGCCCAUCUAAUGUAGCUCAGACAUCAUACAGGACACAAAUGGGGGGUUUAUAUCACCAAAAGGAACAGUGUGAAAAUAAAUGACUGGAUGAAAAUGCUAAGGGACACCCAAUUACUUUGCCAUAAGCCCCAAAAUGGAUAACAUGAACAUACGUGUAAUCAGUGUAAUAAUCAGAAGAAGAAAAAAAAGAAAGAUGCCCCUCUGACGAUCCAAAACAGUAGUUUACUCCAUACGGACCGACCAGGGCACAGCGGCGCAGCCUCACGGAGAAUCCCGCGACGGUACCCAGCGAGAGCAGCCGAUCGGGAGCAGCCGGAGUCCGGACGGGUCGAACGGCACCAAGUGUAACUGGUGGAACUCUGCGUUGUGUUUUAAUGAGACUCUCGUGUCCAGGAUUCUCUUUAUUCUGGCAGCAACAAAUAAUAACGUUGGUCGACAGUUAACAGCCCGCUCCAGUUCCUCUCCCAUGAGAGUAAUGUGAAAAAAGGGCAGACAGCUAGUCACAUACCUGGCAGCAACAAAUAAUAACGUUGGUCGACAGUUAACAGCCCGCUCCAGUUCCUCUCCCAUGAGAGUAAUGUGAAAAAAGGGCAGACAACUAGUCACAUACCUGGCAGCAACAAAUAAUAACGUUGGUCGACAGUUAACAGCCCGCUCCAGUUCCUAGACAGAUAAGGCGGGAAGACGAACAUUAGCGCGACUCGUCAUAGCGGGUAAGCUAGCGGUCAACACUGUCUAAACAUCAUGUUUAUGUGCUGGUAUGUUUCUAUUGUAUUUCUAACAUGAAUAAAUAAACACAUUAAACAAUCAAUCAGAAUACGUAAGCGGAUGAACACAGAACCAAACGUAACUAAUCUGAACUGACGUAAUGGAAAAUGA
ensembl:lncRNA